UACCAGCACCCCGAGUGGUCGGGACGAUUAUUGGGCCUAAAGCAUCCGUAGCCGGUUUUACAAGUCCUCCGUUAAAUCCAGCUGCUUAACAGAUGGGCUGCGGAGGAUACUAUAAGACUAGGAGGCAGGGGGAGGCAAGCGGUACUCAGUGGGUAGGGGUAAAAUCCGUUGAUCCAUUGAAGACCACCAGUGGCGAAGGCGGCUUGCCAGAAUGCGCUCGACGGUGAGGGAUGAAAGCUGGGGGAGCAAACCGGG
rnacentral:rRNA from 1 species